CCCGCUGAACUUAAGCAUAUCAAUAAGCGGAGGAAAAGAAACUAACAAGGAUUCCCUUAGUAACUGCGAGUGAAGAGGGAAAAGCUCAAAUUUAAAAUCUGGCAGUGUUUCGCUGUCCGAGUUGUAACCUAGAGAAGUGUAACCUGUGCUGGACCGUGUACAAGUCUCCUGGAAUGGAGCAUCACAGAGGGUGAGAAUCCCGUCUUUGACAUGGACUGCCAGUGCAUUGUGGUUGUGCUCUCAACGAGUCGAGUUGUUUGGGAAUGCAGCUCUAAAUGGGUGGUAAAUUCCAUCUAAAGCUAAAUAUUGGCGAGAGACCGAUAGCGAACAAGUACCGUGAGGGAAAGAUGAAAAGAACUUUGGAAAGAGAGUUAAACAGUAUGUGAAAUUGUUGAAAGGGAAACGUUUGAAGUCAGUCAUGUUGGCUGGGGAUCAGCCUGACAUUUAUGUUGGGUGUACUUCCUGGUUGACGGGCCAACAUCAGUUUUGGCUGCCAGAAAAAGGCCAAGGGAAUGUGGCACCUUUGGGGGUGUUAUAGCUCUUGGUCGUAUGUGGUGGUUGGGACUGAGGAAAGCAGUGCGCCGAAAGGCAGGGUUUCGACCACAUUCGCACUGAGGAUGUUGGCAUAAUGGCUUUAAGCGACCCGUCUUGAAACACGG
rnacentral:rRNA from 1 species